UGGGGAAUAUUGCGCAACGGGGGGAACCCUGACGCAGCCAUGCCGCGUGAAUGAAGAAGGCCUUCGGGUUGUAAAGUUCUUUCGGUAUUGAGGAAGGUUGAUGUGUUAAUAGCACAUCAAAUUGACGUUAAAUACAGAAGAAGCACCGGCUAACUCCGUGCCAGCAGCCGCGGUAAUACGGAGGGUGCGAGCGUUAAUCGGAAUAACUGGGCGUAAAGGGCACGCAGGCGGUUAUUUAAGUGAGGUGUGAAAGCCCCGGGCUUAACCUGGGAAUUGCAUUUCAGACUGGGUAACUAGAGUACUUUAGGGAGGGGUAGAAUUCCACGUGUAGCGGUGAAAUGCGUAGAGAUGUGGAGGAAUACCGAAGGCGAAGGCAGCCCCUUGGGAAUGUACUGACGCUCAUGUGCGAAAGCGUGGGGAGCAAACAGGAUUAGAUACCCUGGUAGUCCACGCUGUAAACGCUGUCGAUUUGGGGGUUGGGGUUUAACUCUGGCGCCCGUAGCUAACGUGAUAAAUCGACCGCCUGGGGAGUACGGCCGCAAGGUUA
rnacentral:rRNA from 1 species